AUUGAACGCUGGCGGCAGGCCUAACACAUGCAAGUCGAGCGAGCGGCGGACGGGUGAGUAAUGUAUGGGGACUGCCUGAUAGAGGGGGCAAACUACUGGAAACGGUGGCUAAUACCGCAUACUAUCGGAUAACCCAUAUGGGAUUAGCUAGUGGGUGGGGUAAAGGCUCACCUAGGCGACGAUCUCUAGCUGGUCUGAGAGGAUGCUCAGCCACAAGGGGACUGAGACACGGCCCAGACUCCUACGGAGGCAUCAGUGGGGAAUCUUGCGCAAUGGGCGCAAGCCGGAUGCAGCCAUGCCGCGUGUAUGAAGAAGGCCUUAGGGUUGUAAAGUACUUUCAGCGGGGAGGCGUUACCCGCAGAAGAAGCACCGGCUAACUCCGUGCCAGCCGCCGCGGUAAUUC
rnacentral:rRNA from 1 species